AAAUUGAAGAGUUUGAUCAUGGCUCAGAUUGAACGCUGGCGGCAGGCCUAACACAUGCAAGUCGAACGGUAACAGGAAGCAGCUUGCUGCUUCGCUGACGAGUGGCGGACGGGUGAGUAAUGUCUGGGAAACUGCCUGAUGGAGGGGGAUAACUACUGGAAACGGUAGCUAAUACCGCAUAAUGUCGCAAGACCAAAGAGGGGGACCUUCGGGCCUCUUGCCAUCGGAUGUGCCCAGAUGGGAUUAGCUUGUUGGUGGGGUAACGGCUCACCUAGGCGACGAUCCCUAGCUGGUCUGAGAGGAUGACCAGCCACACUGGAACUGAGACACGGUCCAGACUCCUACGGGAGGCAGCAGUGGGGAAUAUUGCACAAUGGGCGCAAGCCUGAUGCAGCCAUGCCGCGUGUAUGAAGAAGGCCUUCGGGUUGUAAAGUACUUUCAGCGGGGAGGAAGGGAGUAAAGUUAAUACCUUUGCUCAUUGACGUUACCCGCAGAAGAAGCACCGGCUAACUCCGUGCCAGCAGCCGCGGUAAUACGGAGGGUGCAAGCGUUAAUCGGAAUUACUGGGCGUAAAGCGCACGCAGGCGGUUUGUUAAGUCAGAUGUGAAAUCCCCGGGCUCAACCUGGGAACUGCAUCUGAUACUGGCAAGCUUGAGUCUCGUAGAGGGGGGUAGAAUUCCAGGUGUAGCGGUGAAAUGCGUAGAGAUCUGGAGGAAUACCGGUGGCGAAGGCGGCCCCCUGGACGAAGACUGACGCUCAGGUGCGAAAGCGUGGGGAGCAAACAGGAUUAGAUACCCUGGUAGUCCACGCCGUAAACGAUGUCGACUUGGAGGUUGUGCCCUUGAGGCGUGGCUUCCGGAGCUAACGCGUUAAGUCGACCGCCUGGGGAGUACGGCCGCAAGGUUAAAACUCAAAUGAAUUGACGGGGGCCCGCACAAGCGGUGGAGCAUGUGGUUUAAUUCGAUGCAACGCGAAGAACCUUACCUGGUCUUGACAUCCACGGAAGUUUUCAGAGAUGAGAAUGUGCCUUCGGGAACCGUGAGACAGGUGCUGCAUGGCUGUCGUCAGCUCGUGUUGUGAAAUGUUGGGUUAAGUCCCGCAACGAGCGCAACCCUUAUCCUUUGUUGCCAGCGGUCCGGCCGGGAACUCAAAGGAGACUGCCAGUGAUAAACUGGAGGAAGGUGGGGAUGACGUCAAGUCAUCAUGGCCCUUACGACCAGGGCUACACACGUGCUACAAUGGCGCAUACAAAGAGAAGCGACCUCGCGAGAGCAAGCGGACCUCAUAAAGUGCGUCGUAGUCCGGAUUGGAGUCUGCAACUCGACUCCAUGAAGUCGGAAUCGCUAGUAAUCGUGGAUCAGAAUGCCACGGUGAAUACGUUCCCGGGCCUUGUACACACCGCCCGUCACACCAUGGGAGUGGGUUGCAAAAGAAGUAGGUAGCUUAACCUUCGGGAGGGCGCUUACCACUUUGUGAUUCAUGACUGGGGUGAAGUCGUAACAAGGUAACCGUAGGGGAACCUGCGGUUGGAUCACCUCCUUA
rnacentral:rRNA from 1 species